UACAGGUCGAGCAAGUCUCGUAAAUUUCACGAUUGCGAGCCACGCUUCACGCAACCGUGUUUGCGUACUUGUGUUUCGAGUUGCGUGGUCGUGCGGAGUUAUAUUUACCAAAUUUAAAUAUAAUCGUUUCUACUGAUUCAUAAUAAUAUAUGUCAAUAUGGCUACUGGGUGUAAAAGAUAAAUGUUAUUCUAUCUGUUCUUAAUGAGUUUUAGAUAAUUUUAGUUGUAUUUCUUUGUAAUUUUGUGUUGUACAAAGAUUAAUUUAACAUUUUCUCUGGAAGUAUUAAUUUAGAAAGAUAAUAUGCUUCAAUGGUGUUGUGUUUUGAAGUGUGAAAUGCAAAGUACCUAAUUGUGAUAAAGUCAAGAUAAAGUUCACUUUUAAACUGAACUAAAUAAGGUAUCUGAGAGACAACAAUGGUUAAAUGCAAUACAAUGUACAGGUUUUACUAGCGAAAUGAAAAUUUUCCUGUCCUGUCUGCUGUAAUCAUUUUAUAUCUGGAAAACCAGCCGACUUAAUCGAUAAUAACAAUCUCCAGAUUGGGUUCCUUCAAUAAAUAUGGGCUAUAAACACAAUGAAAUAAGUUCCCCAAAAUCUAAACUGGAGUGGUAUCAAAGGAGAAUUAAAGGAAAAAAUAUUCAUAUUGAAAUUAUUUAUAAGGCACUGGACUGUCUUAAAUUCUACAAUAAUACUAGAAUCAGCUGAGAGAAGUGGUCUACAAAAAACCAGGAAGGAAACGGAAUAUGUGGCUACGAAAGGCAAAAGAAAAGUUUACAAAGCAAAUGUGACACAUUUUUUUGAAAUAUUUAGGAAUAUUAGUAAAUUGCAUUAAAAAAAUGUAUGAAAAGAUUUUGUUCAAUAAAAAUGUUUAUAUUUA